GAUGGCCACAUCAUGUUGAUACACUGAUUCCCAUAUGAUCACUGAAGUUAAGCAAUGUUGAGACUGGUCAGUAUCUUGAUGGGUGACAGCUUGAGAAUACCAGCUGCCGUAAG